GAUGAACGCUGGCGGCGUGCCUAAUACAUGCAAGUCGAGCGAACAGACGAGGAGCUUGCUCCUCUGAUGUUAGCGGCGGACGGGUGAGUAACACGUGGAUAACCUACCUAUAAGACUGGGAUAACUUCGGGAAACCGGAGCUAAUACCGGAUAACAUGUUGAACCGCAUGGUUCAACAGUGAAAGACGGUCUUGCUGUCACUUAUAGAUGGAUCCGCGCCGCAUUAGCUAGUUGGUAAGGUAACGGCUUACCAAGGCAACGAUGCGUAGCCGACCUGAGAGGGUGGUCGGCCACCCUGGAACUUAGACACGGUCCAGACUCCUACGGGAGGCAGCAGUAGGGAAUCUUCCGCAAUGGGCGAAAGCCUGACGGAGCAACGCCGCGUGAGUGAAGAAGGUCUUCGGAUCGUAAAACUCUGUUAUUAGUGAAGAACAAAUGUGUAAGUAACUAUGCACGUCUUGACGGUACCUAAUCAGAAAGCCACGGCUAACUACGUG
rnacentral:rRNA from 1 species